GGGAGCCUCAAUUAAGGGCCAUCUUAAUUGAAUUGUGUAUUGUUUUUAUAAACUUGCGAAUAUCUGGAGUGAACUGAAAGCAUUUUUUUAAGAAUGUUUUCGACUUAGCUGGUGAAUUGUCAUCCAUAUUGUCAGAGUUGACACUUCUAAGAAAAUGGCAGGAAAUGACCCUCACAGAAAUUAAACAGAUCACCUCCUUCGGAUGGUUUCUUUAAGGCCCGCUGGACCCUACCUCAUGCCCCGGGUUGAGCGGUUCUGGAAGUUCUGGACCAGCUGGGGGACCCCCAGCAUGGCCUCC